rnacentral:rRNA from 1 species
CAAUAGCGUAUAUUAAAGUUGUUGCAGUUAAAAAGCUCGUAGUUGGAUUUCUGGUGGGAGCGAUCGGUCUGGCGCUUAGCGCGAGUACUUGCAUCGUCUCCGGCCAUCCUUGGGGAGAGUCUGUCUGGCAUUAAGUUGUCGGGCAGAGGAUCCUCAUCGUUUACUGUGAAAAAAUUAGAGUGUUCAAAGCAGGCUUAUGCCGUUGAAUAUAUUAGCAUGGAAUAAUAAGAUAGGACUUUGGUACUAUUUUGUUGGUUUGCGCACCAAAGUAAUGAUUAAUAGGGACAGUUGGGGGUAUUCGUAUUCCGUUGUCAGAGGUGAAAUUCUUGGAUUUACGGAAGAUUAACUUCUGCGAAAGCAUUCGCCAAGGAUGUUUUCGUUAA